GUGAUUUCCCAUGUCUUUAGUUGUUAGUCUUGAGAUGUUAUUGUUUGGAAAAGUUCCCUUGGUGUUUAACAGAAAAUUUGAACCUGCGGUCAAUUAAGUUAGAUUAGUGUGGCCAUUCCGUUAUUGCUUUUGCUAUGCAGAUUCUAGAUUAGCAAGUUGAAUUGGGGAACUACAUUUUUUAGACCAAAAAACAGGGCCUGUGAAUAUGAUGAACCACAAAUAGAAGAGUGUGUAGAAGAUGACUUGGUUGGGGUGUGUUUGCACUUUGCAGUGAAUGCUAUUAGAAAUAUGCCAAAUGUUUCUCAUUUGCAAGGCAUUAAGGAUAAACUUCCUCAAUCCCCCAUAAUUGAGAGUUGUGGCUUCCUGUCAAAUGGACAAUGUGUAAAAACGGUAGUGAUGAGAAUUUGAGAAGGUUUACCAGCAACUUGUAGAAUACCUUCCAUGCAUGCAUGGAAAAGUAUGGGAUGUAGCUAAAGGA